UUCUGUCCUUGUAUAAGGAAGCAUAACGCCAAAACGUACCCAUUGUAACUUCACCUUGCAUGAAAUGCACGUGAAAACUGUUGGAAACGGGUAUAUAAGGCCCCUAGAUUUAUCAUUUCACACCAUACAUUCACUACAAUGCCGAGAUUAACAGCAGAAGAGCGGGAGAGGGCCAUUGGAAUGCUGCAGACUGGGUCGACUGAUCGGGAAGUGGCUGCUGCAUUCGGGUGUCAUCGCCUCACCAUUCUAAGGCUGCGUCAGCGAUUCCAGAAUACUGGCACAACAAGAGACAGACCCAGAAGCGGGAGGCCACCAGUUACAACCACUUCCCGAUCAGUCGACCCAGUCUGCAGCAUUCCAAUGGCCCUCUCCCGCUCUUCUGCUGUUAAUCUCGGCAUUGUAGUGAAUGUAUGGUGUGAAAUGAUAAAUCUAGGGGCCUUAUAUACCCGUUUCCAACAGUUUUCACGUGCAUUUCAUGCAAGGUGAAGUUACAAUGGAAGACGACCUGGCAGUUCUUACCUUGCAGAGGAAGGUUCGGUUUGAGCCAUGUGUUCAACCAAUAUGUAUUCCUGGAAUAGCAAGCAAUCCUGAAAAAGGGAGACCUGGUCACAGUCGUAGGAUUUGGGCGUUUUUGGAACAAAGGAAGAGCAAGAUUGCAGUCAGCUGUGGUGCCAGUAAUUAGUCGUAAGCAGUGUGGAUGGAUCUACCCAGAAAUGAUGUCACUGCAACAUUCGAUCUGCGCUGGAUUGGGUUCCAGCAUAAUUUCAUCAGUCUGUCACGACAACUCAGGAGCCCCGAUGAUCCUUCAGCGAGAAAAUAAGUGGUUUCUGUACGGGAUCAGCACGUCACACCGAAGCUGCACAGACGCUGUGUCUGUAUACACUGAUAUUCCUCAUUAUGCAUCCUGGAUCAGCGGUGUUAAAUAAUAUGAUCAGCUAUCUUAAAAGACAUCACCAUUCAAUCUUGAAAUAGAUGCAUGAUCAAAAUGAACACUUACUGUUCAAAACAUUUUAGUUUCUAGUUUCUGUUUUGUUUAAUGCACUAACGCGAGUGUAAAACUUGGAACUAUGAAAUAAACAUAAUUCAAUGUUUCAGUCUUAUUAACUUGGGUUACAUAUGUUUUGAGAACUUAAGGCGUAACGUCCCUUUAAAAUCAUGAGAUAAGACAUUUAUCCAUAUAAAAUCGCAUUAACAGGCCUAUUAUCAGUCAAAUAACACAUCUAAUAUUGCAGAAUUAUCUUAUUUAUAUCAUACAAAAUGACGUCAUAUCAACUUUGUUCCUUGUUACAGUUUUCAUUUCGCAAUACUGUGGUCAUCAUAGUGACAUUGUGGAAAUUGAAUUUGAUGUUGUUUCACGGCAGUUGUUCUGAUAUUACUUUGACGACACAAGUAGCAUUGGGAGACAAUCCUUGUUUCCAUCAGAAAAUAAACCUCAAUAUUGAUUAACAAAGCAUUUUCAACCCUUCCUUCCCUCGUGCUAUAUCCAUGCAAUUCAUUCCAUACCAACACACCUUACACUUUGAUAUCUACAGUCAUCUUCUGGUUUUAAUUGAAAAAGGUUAACGUAUUUACACAUACAACUUCUAAUUAGAUCAGGCUUUAUUGCUCAUAUUGUAAUAAACCCUUGAGUAGGCAAGGUACUUAGUAUUCUUGACCAGUUGGAUGUAGGUUUACCAGAUAACACUUGUAUGCAACACAUUCACAGGUUCCAACGGUUACAAGGGUCUUAUGUAAAAGCUUUUAAGUAAUGAUGAACCCAUUGCACUGAGUAGUUCAACUGUCCUCGUUUCAAAGUUGGUAUCCAUGUUAAUUUGAAAAAAAUCCUUCACAUUUUUUAACUUGGACCGUGAUACAUUGACAAAGAUGUCUAUAUAUAUCCUCAUGAAAUAUUAUAACCAACUCCAUUAGAAUGCACAUAUGUAUGAAAACAAUAAUUAUCAAUAAAAACGAAAAUGAAAUUGUCA
rnacentral:misc_RNA from 1 species